AGCACAUGAAGCAGCAGACUUCGAUGGUGGCGACCGGCGCAAGGGUGAGUAACGGGUAUGCAAUCUACCUACAACAAGGGAAUAACCCGUUGAAAGACGGACUAAUACCCUAUAAUACAGGGGUCCCGCAUGGGAAUAUUUGUUAAAGAUUUAUCGGUUGUAGAUGAGCAUGCGUUCCAUUAGCUAGUUGGUGAGGUAACGGCCCACCAACGCAACGAUGGAUAGGGGAACUGAGAGGUUUAUCCCCCGGACUGGUACUGAGACACAGACCAGACUCCUACGGGAGGCAGCAGUGAGGAAUAUUGGGAAUGGACGCAAGUCUGAACCAGCCACGUCGCGUGAAGGAAGACUGCCCUACGGGUUGUAAACUUCUUUUGUAAGGGAAUAAAGUGUAAUACGUGUACUAUUUUGCAUGUACCUUACGA
rnacentral:rRNA from 1 species